rnacentral:rRNA from 1 species
UAGGGAAUCUUCGGCAAUGGACGAAAGUCUGACCGAGCAACGCCGCGUGAGUGAAGAAGGGUUUCGGAUCGUAAAACUCUGUUGUUAGAGAAGAACAAGGACGUUAGUAACUGAACGUCCCCUGACGGUAGCUAACCAGAAAGCCACGGCUAACUACGUGCCAGCAGCCGCGGUAAUACGUAGGUGGCAAGCGUUGUCCGGAUUUAUUGGGCGUAAAGCGAGCGCAGGCGGUUUCUUAAGUCUGAUGUGAAAGCCCCCGGCUCAACCGGGGAGGGUCAUUGGAAACUGGGAGACUUGAGUGCAGAAGAGGAGAGUGGAAUUCCAUGUGUAGCGGUGAAAUGCGUAGAUAUAUGGAGGAACACCAGUGGCGAAGGCGGCUCUCUGGUCUGUAACUGACGCUGAGGCUCGAAAGCGUGGGGAGCAAACAGG